rnacentral:rRNA from 1 species
CCUACGGGAGGCAGCAGUGGGGAAUUUUGGACAAUGGGCGCAAGCCUGAUCCAGCAAUGCCGCGUGAGUGAAGAAGGCCUUCGGGUUGUAAAGCUCUUUUGUCAGGGAAGAAACGGCAGUUUCUAAUACAGAUUGCUAAUGACGGUACCUGAAGAAUAAGCACCGGCUAACUACGUGCCAGCAGCCGCGGUAAUACGUAGGGUGCAAGCGUUAAUCGGAAUUACUGGGCGUAAAGCGUGCGCAGGCGGUUUUGUAAGUUUGUCGUGAAAUCCCCGGGCUCAACCUGGGAAUGGCGAUGAAGACUGCAAGGCUAGAAUCUGGCAGAGGGGGGUAGAAUUCCACGUGUAGCAGUGAAAUGCGUAGAGAUGUGGAGGAACACCGAUGGCGAAGGCAGCCCCCUGGGUCAAGAUUGACGCUCAUGCACGAAAGCGUGGGGAGCAAACAGGAUUAGAUACCCUGGUAGUCCACGCCCUAAACGAUGUCUACUAGUUGUCGGGUUUUAAUUAACCUUGGUAACGCAGCUAACGCGUGAAGUAGACCGCCUGGGGAUCGGUCGCAAGNUUAAAACUCAAAUGAGUAGAGNGNGAGAGNGCGAGACGACGACGAGGAGGAGG